GUUGAUGCAAUAAAUACAUGAUAUUUAGUGCUUCUAUUUAUAAUGACAAAGUUGCUUUUAUUUUCAAAUCUAUGCAGAUAUAUCUUCCAUAAUUGUUCCUCUUUUUUCUCAAUUGACCCACCAACGCAAUGAAAAAAGGGUUUAUGUAGCUUUUGACGUGGUCACAGUUCCGAGUGGGGCAUUUUUAGUGAAAAUCGUGAAACUAAAUUACUGUUUAACGGUUCAAAAAAAUUUAAAACCAAACUGAACCAGACUAUGAAACUAAACUAAACUGAAUCAUAGAAUGUAGUUGGGUUCGAUUCGAUUUGGUUUUAUGAUUCAAAAACCAUUCCUUUUAUCAUCAAAAUAUUUCAAAAAUGCAUAAAUAUCUAAAAUAAUAUAGUUUUUUUUUUCCACGUAACAUAAUUUUACUAAUAAAACAAAAUUACAUGCAUUUUUUAUACAUGAAACAUGCGUAUUUAUACGUGAUUUUCAUACAUUGCAUAUGAUAUUUUAUAUAAUUAUAACAGUCACAUUUUGAUUUGAUUCAAAUUCGAAAAUGUGAUCUCAAAAUUGCAAAUCAAAUCAUUGCCGUGCAAUUAUUUUUUAUUUUGAAAAUUAAAAUCAAACCGCUCUGAUAAAAAAUCAGACCAAAUUUGCAAUUCAAUCGAUUUUCUUGCUCUUCCCUACUUUUUAUUUUAGCGUAAAAAAUAAAAAGGAAAAAAUAAAUAAGAGAGAGAAUAGUUCAUUUAGUCGGUUGAAGGGCAAUGAAUUUUUGUGCAAGCAUUGCUCACACGUGCCAAUUCACUCUCCUGUAAUAAAUGACAAAAAUUUGUUUCCCAAUAUUGUCCUCCUCUCACCUACUCCCUUAGAAAAACGCUUGCAAUAUUAUAGUCCCCGCCACAUGCUAAUGGGCCAAAGGCCCAAGUGAGUCCCCCACUAUCACACGUGUUAGAAAAGCUAUGUUCAAGUCUUUGUCGCUGCAUAGGCCCAUUGGUUAUCGGCCCAACACGUGUGGGAGGCAUGCAGAUUUACCGAAUUUUAGGGGUUGAUUUUUGUUACCUUCCGUUAAUUCUCUGGACGGAGUCGCCUUAGCUUUGCUCCGUUGACGUAACGUCCGUCGGGUGUUGGGAUAUUUUUCUCUGCGGUCGGGACUGUCUCGAAGGUGUUGCAAUCGGAUAGAUUACAGUAAUCUCGUACAAGAAGCAGCUGUUGCUGCACUCACUUCUUUGGAAGUUGUACGUUACCCUCCAAAUGCAUUUUAAAUGCACUCUUCUUCUUUUUUUAUCAAAUCUUUUAAAAAAAUUCAUAACUUGUUCCAGAAACCUCUUUUAAUAAAUUUAUUACUCUAUUUUUUAUGAAAUAUUUAUUUUUUGUCUUUAUUUUUGGUAAAAAUAUGGCCAAUUAAAUUUGAUAAAAUAUUUGGUUCAUCCUUGAUUUGGUGAAAAUUUUGGCUCUCGCUUAAUUUGAUACAAGUUUUAUGAAAAAAUUGAAGCUUUUUAACACUUUUUUCGGUAAAAGAUUAGAGAUGCCCUAAUAUCAAAGAAUUUAAUAAUAAUCUCUGAAAACCCCCGACAUGUGGAGGUGAUCGAGAGAUAGGCGAGACAAAAGAAUUAAAUUCGGGCAUAGAUUUUUUCAUACAAGAGCUACCUAAUAUAUAGUUCUGAUACCAUGUUAAUUAAAGAUGAUCGAGACAUUCAAACUUAAACCAAUUAGUAAUAGAUGGAGUAGUCUUUAGAGAAAAUAUAUUAAGUGGCUUGAUGAGCGAUGUGAGCUCAAGUCUAAUAUGUUUACUUCUUUUUUAAUUCUUGAGUUAAAAGGUGGAACUCAAAUUGUUAAAAAAAUUAUUGAAUAUAUUUGGAAUUGCAUUUGUCGAAGUAAUGGUAUUUGGGGUGACAUUAAUGAGCCAAAUUUACAUCUGAAUAUUUCCAAAUUGGACUUUGUGUUACCACUUUGAAUGCACUUUUCAUCUACUAUUUUUUUCUCAUUUCGCAGCUGGUGAAAAUACAAAAGCUUGUCAUUUGCAUUGUUAGUAAAAAUCAGAAUAUAUAUAUAUAUAUAUAAGGCUAGUGAUUUUAACACGUACUCCAUUUUUUUAUCUUUAUUAUGAUAAAUUUACCCAAAUACGAACUGAUAAGGGAUAUAUUUACACUAUAUAAAUAGCUGUUCAAAAAGGAAAAUGGGCUCGUCCUGAGAUGACCAUAUCGUCCCACUCCGUCCGUACUUGUCAUUCGGUUGUCGUUCGCCAAUAGAUACUACCCAUCAGUUCACCACGCCAAUAACAGUUUUGUUUGUAUCGCAAGACCCUCCAGACUUAGAUAUACAUGACUUCCAGCUGGUCCCGUUCAGUCACAAUUUCUGCCAAUCACUCCACGAUCUUCUCCCACGAUCUCCGAUCAUUAUGCCAUUAUCUCUACACACAUAUAACUCCUACAAGUACGCCACAUUAUCCUCAUGCGGUUGAGAUCUACCUAUAAAAAUCGCUCCCCUACCUCCAGAAGAAGUAAGUUCAAUUGUGCCU
rnacentral:lncRNA from 1 species